rnacentral:lncRNA from 1 species
UUUUAUCUUUUCGGAAGCUUUUUCGUUAAUAUUUCGUUAAAUUAUAUACAAAAAACUUCAGAUAACCAUCUAUAUUUAUCGAAUAGUCACUUUAGUAUCCUUUAAUUUUAACUUUGUCACUGAUUUUAAAAAAAAUAAUAAUAAAAUUGAUAACAAAAAGAUAAAAACGAAACCACAGGGGGGCAAAUUGAUACGUUUUAAACCACAGGGUAGCAAAGUGAGAAUGAACGAAACCACAGGGGGGGUUUUUGAAGUUUUCCCUAAUAAAUUUUAUUAGUGAC